rnacentral:rRNA from 1 species
GCGUGAAUCUGCCGGGACCAUCCGGUAAGGCUAAAUACUCCCGAGAGACCGAUAGUGAACCAGUACUGUGAAGGAAAGGCGAAAAGAACCCCGGUGAGGGGAGUGAAAUAGAACCUGAAACCUUGUACGUACAAGCAGUGGGAGCCCUUUAAGGGUGACUGCGUACCUUUUGUAUAAUGGGUCAGCGACUUAUAUUUUGUAGCGAGGUUAACCGAAUAGGGGAGCCGAAGGGAAACCGAGUCUUAACUGGGCGUCUAGUUGCAAGGUAUAGACCCGAAACCCGGUGAUCUAGCCAUGGGCAGGUUGAAGGUUGGGUAACACUAACUGGAGGACCGAACCGACUAAUGUUGAAAAAUUAGCGGAUGACUUGUGGCUGGGGGUGAAAGGCCAAUCAAACCGGGAGAUAGCUGGUUCUCCCCGAAAUCUAUUUAGGUAGAGCCUUGAGCGGACACCUUCGGGGGUAGAGCACUGUUUCGGCUAGGGGUCCAUCCCGGAUUACCAACCCGAUGCAAACUACGAAUACCGAAGAGUGAUACUCAGGAGACACACGGCGGGUGCUAACGUCCGUCGUGGAGAGGGAAACAACCCAGACCGCCAGCUAAGGUCCCAAAGUCUAUAUUAAGUGGGAAACGAAGUGGGAAGGCUUAGACAGCUAGGAUGUUGGCUUAGAAGCAGCCAUCAUUUAAAGAAAGCGUAAUAGCUCACUAGUCGAGUCGGCCUGCGCGGAAGAUGUAACGGGGCUCAAAUAUAGCACCGAAGCUGCGGCAUCAGACGAAAGUCUGUUGGGUAGGGGAGCGUUCUGUAAGCGGAUGAAGGUGAAUCGAGAGGUUUGCUGGACGUAUCAGAAGUGCGAAUGCUGACAUAAGUAACGAUAAAACGGGUGAAAAACCCGUUCGCCGGAAGACCAAGGGUUCCUGUCCAACGUUAAUCGGGGCAGGGUGAGUCGGCCCCUAAGGCGAGGCUGAAAAGCGUAGUCGAUGGGAAACGGGUUAAUAUUCCCGUACUUGGAUAAACUGCGAUGUGGGGACGGAGCAGGUUAGGUUAUCGCACUGUUGGAUAUGUGCGUUUAAGUUGGUAGGUGAGAAGUUUAGGCAAAUCCGGACUUCUUUAACACUGAGAGAUGAUGACGAGGCUCUACGGAGCUGAAGUAACCGAUACCACACUUCCAGGAAAAGCCACUAAGCUUCAGGUUUAUCUAAACCGUACUGAAAACCGACACAGGUGGUCAGGUAGAGAAUACUCAGGCGCUUGAGAGAACUCGGGUGAAGGAACUAGGCAAAAUAGCACCGUAACUUCGGGAGAAGGUGCGCCGGCGUAGAUUGUAGUCCCUAGCGGGCGAAGGUUGAACCGGUCGAAGAUACCAGCUGGCUGCAACUGUUUAUUAAAAACACAGCACUCUGCAAACACGAAAGUGGACGUAUAGGGUGUGAUGCCUGCCCGGUGCUGGAAGGUUAAUUGAUGGUGUAAUCGAAAGAGAAGCUCCUGAUCGAAGCCCCAGUAAACGGCGGCCGUAACUAUAACGGUCCUAAGGUAGCGAAAUUCCUUGUCGGGUAAGUUCCGACCUGCACGAAUGGCAUAAUGAUGGCCAGGCUGUCUCCACCCGAGACUCAGUGAAAUUGAAAUCGCCGUGAAGAUGCGGUGUACCCGCGGCUAGACGGAAAGACCCCGUGAACCUUUACUAUAGCUUGACACUGAACAUUGAAUUUUGAUGUGUAGGAUAGGUGGGAGACUUUGAAGUAGUCACGCCAGUGAUUAUGGAGUCGUCCUUGAAAUACCACCCUUUAACGUUUGAUGUUCUAACGAAGAUUACGAAACGUGGUCUCGGACAGUGUCUGGUGGGUAGUUUGACUGGGGCGGUCUCCUCCCAAAGAGUAACGGAGGAGCACGAAGGUUUGCUAAUGACGGUCGGACAUCGUCAGGUUAGUGCAAUGGUAUAAGCAAGCUUAACUGCGAGACAGACAAGUCGAGCAGGUACGAAAGUAGGUCAUAGUGAUCCGGUGGUUCUGAAUGGAAGGGCCAUCGCUCAACGGAUAAAAGGUACUCCGGGGAUAACAGGCUGAUACCGCCCAAGAGUUCAUAUCGACGGCGGUGUUUGGCACCUCGAUGUCGGCUCAUCACAUCCUGGGGCUGAAGUAGGUCCCAAGGGUUGGGCUGUUCGCCCAUUAAAGUGGCACGCGAGCUGGGUUCAG